rnacentral:misc_RNA from 1 species
GUACUUGGUGCUUCAUUAGGCUAUAUUAUGCAUAUUGGAUUUGCUUAGUCCUUUUCCUUGCAUAAUAAGAGAUGAUUUAGUGUGUCUGAAGUAUUCCACAUUUAUGAAUUCGGAGGAGAAUUGAUCAUGUAGCCUUAUCAUUGCUUUGCAGAUAAACUGUUUGCCGUUUAACGUGAAGGAAUUAAUUAGUACUCCCAUCACUAUUGUAGUUUUUGUGGAUUUUUCAUGUUUUGUUCCACCUUCAUCCAGCUAAAUGCCUCUUUGUAAUGCACUU